rnacentral:rRNA from 1 species
AGCAACAGAAGAAGCACCGGCUAACUCCGUGCCAGCAGCCGCGGUAAUACGGAGGGUGCGAGCGUUAAUCGGAAUUACUGGGCGUAAAGCGCAUGCAGGUGGUUGUUAAGUCAGAUGUGAAAGACCCGGGCCGUCAACCUCGGAACUGCAUUUGAAACUGGCAGACUAGAGUACUGUAGAGGGGGUAGAAUUUCAGGUGUAGCGGUGAAAUGCGUAGAGAUCUGAAGGAAUACCCGGUGGCGAAGGACGGCCCCCUCGGACAGAUACUGACACUCAGAUGCGAAAGCGUGGGGAGCAAACAGGAUUAGAUACCCCUGGUAG